GUCAAUUCAAUUCAAACAAGCAAAGUGAAAACAUCGCUAAGCGAAAGCUAAGCAAACAAACAAGCGCAGCUGAACAAGCUAAACAAACAAUCUGCAUUAAAGUGCAAGUUAAAGUGAAUCAAUUUAAAGUAACCAGCAACCAACUAUAUCAACUGCAACUACUGAAAUCAACCGAGAAGUAAUUAUUGAAGACAAGAAGAGAACUCUGAAUACUUUGAACAAGUCGUUACCGAGGAAGAAGAACUCACACACAAUGCCUGCUAUUGGAAUCGAUCUGGGCACCACCUACUCCUGCGUGGGUGUCUACCAACAUGGCAAGGUGGAGAUUAUCGCCAACGACCAGGGCAACCGCACCACGCCGUCCUACGUGGCUUUCACAGAUUCGGAACGCCUGAUCGGCGAUCCGGCCAAGAACCAGGUGGCCAUGAACCCCAGAAACACAGUGUUCGACGCCAAGCGACUCAUUGGCCGUAAAUACGACGACCCCAAAAUCGCAGAAGACAUGAAGCACUGGCCUUUCAAGGUGGUAAGCGACUGCGGAAAGCCCAAGAUCGGCGUGGAGUAUAAGGGUGAGUCCAAGCGAUUUGCCCCCGAGGAGAUCAGCUCAAUGGUGCUGGCCAAGAUGAAAGAGACGGCGGAGGCGUAUCUGGGCGAGAGCAUCACGGAUGCAGUCAUCACAGUUCCAGCCUACUUCAACGACUCCCAGCGCCAGGCUACCAAAGACGCUGGUCACAUCGCCGGCCUGAAUGUGCUCCGCAUCAUCAAUGAGCCCACGGCGGCAGCACUGGCCUACGGACUGGACAAGAAUCUCAAGGGUGAGCGCAAUGUGCUUAUCUUCGACUUGGGCGGCGGUACCUUCGAUGUCUCCAUCCUGACCAUCGACGAGGGAUCACUGUUCGAGGUGCGCUCCACAGCCGGAGACACACACUUGGGCGGCGAGGACUUUGACAACCGGCUAGUUACCCACCUGGCGGAGGAGUUCAAGCGCAAGUACAAGAAGGAUCUGCGCUCCAACCCUCGCGCCCUACGUCGCCUCAGAACAGCAGCUGAACGGGCCAAGCGCACACUUUCCUCCAGCACGGAGGCCACCAUCGAGAUCGACGCAUUGUUUGAGGGUCAGGACUUCUACACCAAAGUGAGCCGCGCAAGGUUCGAGGAGCUGUGCGCAGACCUCUUCCGCAACACCCUGCAGCCUGUGGAGAAGGCCCUCACCGAUGCCAAGAUGGACAAGGGUCAGAUCCACGACAUCGUACUUGUCGGCGGAUCCACUCGCAUUCCCAAGGUGCAAAGUCUGCUGCAGCAGUUCUUCCACGGCAAGAACCUCAACCUAUCCAUCAACCCAGACGAGGCAGUGGCAUACGGAGCUGCUGUGCAGGCCGCUAUCCUCAGCGGAGACCAGAGCGGCAAGAUCCAGGACGUGCUGCUGGUGGACGUGGCCCCACUUUCAUUGGGAAUUGAGACCGCUGGAGGUGUAAUGACCAAGCUGAUCGAGCGCAACUGCCGUAUGAGGGCGAACGUGCGAUGACGAAGGACAACAAUGCAUUGGGCACCUUCGAUCUGUCCGGCAUUCCACCUGCACCAAGGGGUGUGCCCCAGAUAGAAGUUACCUUCGACUUGGACGCCAAUGGAAUCUUGAACGUCAGUGCCAAGGAGAUGAGCACGGGCAAGGCCAAGAACAUCACGAUCAAGAACGACAAGGGACGCCUCUCGCAGGCCGAGAUUGAUCGCAUGGUGAACGAGGCUGAGAAGUACGCCGACGAGGACGAGAAGCAGCGCCAGCGCAUAACCUCUCGAAAUGCCUUGGAGAGCUACGUCUUCAAUGUGAAGCAGUCCGUGGAGCAGGCACCCGCUGGCAAAUUGGACGAGGCCGACAAGAACUCCGUCCUGGACAAGUGCAACGACACUAUCCGAUGGCUGGACAGCAACACCACCGCCGAGAAGGAGGAGUUUGACCACAAGAUGGAGGAGCUCACUCGCCACUGCUCCCCCAUCAUGACCAAGAUGCAUCAGCAGGGAGCGGGAGCGGGAGCAGCUGGUGGACCGGGAGCCAACUGCGGCCAACAGGCCGGAGGAUUUGGCGGCUACUCUGGACCCACAGUGGAGGAGGUCGACUAAAG